UGGGGAAUAUUGCACAAUGGGCGCAAGCCUGAUGCAGCCAUGCCGCGUGUAUGAAGAAGGCCUUCGGGUUGUAAAGUACUUUCAGCGGGGAGGAAGGGAGUAAAGUUAAUACCUUUGCUCAUUGACGUUACCCGCAGAAGAAGCACCGGCUAACUCCGUGCCAGCAGCCGCGGUAAUACGGAGGGUGCAAGCGUUAAUCGGAAUUACUGGGCGUAAAGCGCACGCAGGCGGUUGAUUGAGUCAGAUGUGAAAUCCCCGGGCUUAACCCGGGAAUUGCAUCUGAUACUGGUCAGCUAGAGUCUUGUAGAGGGGGGUAGAAUUCCAUGUGUAGCGGUGAAAUGCGUAGAGAUGUGGAGGAAUACCGGUGGCGAAGGCGGCCCCCUGGACAAAGACUGACGCUCAGGUGCGAAAGCGUGGGGAGCAAACGGG
rnacentral:rRNA from 1 species